GACGAACGCUGGCGGCGUGCUUAACACAUGCAAGUCGAACGGAAAGGCCCUGCUUUUGUGGGGUGCUCGAGUGGCGAACGGGUGAGUAACACGUGAGUAACCUGCCCGUGACUUUGGGAUAACUUCAGGAAACUGGGGCUAAUACCGGAUAGGAGCUCCUGCGGCAUGGUGGGGGUUGGAAAGUUUCGGCGGUUGGGGUUGGACUCGCGGCUUAUCAGCUUGUGGGUGGGGUAGUGGCUUACCAAGGCUUUGACGGGUAGCCGGCCUGAGGGGGUGACCGGCCACAUUGGGACUGCGAUACGGCCCAGACUCCUACGGGAGGCAGCAGUGGGGAAUAUUGCACAAUGGGCGGAAGCCUGAUGCAGCAACGCCGCGUGCGGGAUGACGGCCUUCGGGUUGUAAACCGCUUUCGCCUGUGACGAAGCGUGAGUGACGGUAAUGGGUAAAGAAGCACCGGCUAACUACGUG
rnacentral:rRNA from 1 species